UACGUAGGGAGCAAGCGUUGUCCGGAAUGACUGGGCGUAAAGGGUGCGUAGGCGGUCUGUCAAGUUGGAAGUGAAAUCCCCGGGCUUAACUUGGGUGCUACUUCCAAGACUGAUGGACUUGAGUGUGGGAGAGGUAAGUGGAAUUCCUAGUGUAGCGGUGAAAUGCGUAGAUAUUAGGAGGAACACCAGUGGCGAAGGCGGCCUGCUGGACUGGUACUGACGCUGAGGCACGAAAGCGUGGGGAUCAAACAGG
rnacentral:rRNA from 1 species